GCAUGUGAAGCAGCAUCCCUGGGCUCUCCCUCUAGAUGCCAGGAGCAUCCCCACACAGUGUGUCAACCAAAUAAUGUCCGCGCAUACUGUCAAGCGUCCCUGGAGGGGACGAUGGUGGGUGACUGAGACCCACUGGUCUAGUCCAAACUUAACUGCCACCCCAAAGACAGCAUGGCUAAUGAGAAGAAAAGAAUGUCACCACCCCUCCAGACUUAUCCUCACCACUCCUUCCCCUCUGCCGCUUAAGCCUUCCAGGGGGCCAUGAGCCAACAUACUCGGAUACAAAUGCAAAUUAGACAGGCCAGUUCCCUCCUGAGGAUCCCCUUUGCCGUCAGAAUAAAAACCCAGACUCCUCAACCUGCCCAGGGGAUAUACCUGAGUAUCUCUCGUCUCUCAAGACUGUGGUGCCACCACACUCCCAGCCCGGGAAGCAGGAUCAAUGUGAAAACAUACAUGCUGAAUGAACGAACGAACGAAGGAGUGAAUCAUCUCUGAAUCAUUCCCCCAGUGACAGAGUCAAGGAAACAGGCCUAGAGGAAGCAAUGGACACCCAGCCUGAUGAGAACUCGUUACGCAGUUUUUGGCUGUAUGCUCCUCCUCUCAGAAUCGGGCCUCAGAGCAGAAGAGCUACAAGACAUUUAUUCCAGUUCCAAAGGUGAAGAGCAGACUACUCACGGCUGGUCAGAUCAAAUUGUCGGUACGUUUUCCCCUAUCUUGGAUUGAAACUGCCUCCCGGAAUAUCCACUGUUCAUCCAAGUUCAGCUUCUUAAAAAUCUACUCCUUUUUCUCCUCCCAAGCCUUCAAACCCAUGAAGGGUUGUUGCUCCUAAAUAUUUCUCUUAGAAGCGUAUUAGAACAAAGUGGCUAUUAUGGGGUAUCCGGGCAUUAUUAGUAACUGCUGAGUAUGGAUGGAAGAAAAGUCCAUCUGCUUAGAAGAACUAAACAAUCAGAAGUGGACAUGGCCUGGAUUGGCCCAGCGUCCCUCUUCUGGCUGCUGCCCUCCCCCCUUCAUUCAUGUGGCUCAUGGGCAGUGGCCACGUAUGUAUGUUAUGCUCCAGCACCCCCUACACCCCAGCCCAAGAUAAGCACGCUGUCCAAGCUAAACCAAGGGGUCCCUUCUCCAGAACACUUGGGUAUAGGGCCGAGAGAUUCUACCUGGCUGCUUUCCCGAAGAGCAAGACUACAUUCCACCAUGUGGGUAGGAGAAGAAGAGGGGGAAGGAAGUCUACAAAGUGAGGUUAGAGCGGAUAUUCAGGAGAAGCAAAGAAAGAAGAAGAGCUGGGACUUCUUGGGCUCCUUACAACACUCCUGUCCCUGGUGUCAGCCAUUCUUGGGUUCCCAGCAGCAUAUUCUAAUAUCCCCCCCUAUGCCUGAGCAAACUUGAGUGGAUUCUGUUAGUUGCUCCCCAGAUCCUAACAAAUGUACCAUCCAACCUGGGUGGGUAUCUCACCCAAGCUUUGAAGCCAGCCUGAGAAGGUGCCAGUGCCUGCCUAAUGCAGCCCAUGGCACUGCAUGGCCCCACCAUGCUCCCGGGGCCCUGCUGGUCUAAGGCACAUCAGGGUGUUGUUUGCCCAGUUCUUACCGGCAGGCACAGGGCUCCUCCGGUGGAGAUCAGUCCAGCCGUAAGGCCCAGCACCAUGGCAAGCCAAGGAGAGCUGAUCAGAUAACACGAGGCACCCACAGCCACACCUCCGGCCAGUACCGCAUUGUGGAUAUGAUUCUGCAAAGAAACAGCUCGUGGGCGAGUGAAGCGAGGCACAGAGAGGACAACAUCUCGCCCAGGGUUGCUUGGUAAGCUGGUAGCAAGCAACACCGUAAUAUCUUCCCUGCUUCACACCCCCUCCUCUCUAUUGAGAGUCCAUGACCUUCAUCAAUUGUCUUAAUCUUACUCUACUUCUCAGGCUCAGGGGGCAGGCAACCUGACUGGGAGGCAUUGAACUUCAAAGCGCAUCCCAGUCACCCUCGCGCUUGUUAGUGAUGUGUCUUUGGCCACUUAAGCAUUCGUGCUUCAGCUUUUCCGCCAGAAGAAUGGAGUUUUAGCAGUACCUACGUAAUACGGUUACGGUAAAAUUAAAUGAGUUACCACAUGUACAACUCUGAGCCCAGGGCCUAGCUAGCAGGGACCGUGAGUAAAGGCUCAAGAAAUAUAACCCAUCAUUAUUGCUUUUACUAUUUUUAUCAUUAUUAUUGGCUAUUUAGUGGUUCUGCCACUCUGUACCACUGGACCUAACGUCAGUAAGCUCGCCCUUGUGGGGCGUCUGGGUGGCUCAGUGAAGCAUCCGACUCUCGAUUUCGGCUCAGGUCAUGACCUUACGGUUCACGAGUACGAAUCCCAUGUUGGGCUCCACGCUGCUGGUGUGGAGCCUGCUAGGGAUUCUCUCUUUCCCUCUCUGUCCCCCACGCAUGCACUCUCUCUCUCUCUCAAAAUAAAAAAAAAAAAAAAAGCUAGCCCUUGUUCCUGGGUCACAUUUCGGUUAUGUCCUUUGUUCCUCUAGAACAGGGUGGGUUCUUGCUACUUCCCUCUGCUCCCCUCCACUCAAACCAGGUCUUGGGAGAUCUGGGCCCUGGGACCAGCUUCUGGCUUCUCUGACCUUCCGGCCACACUUGCCUCCCUAGAUGUCCCCCCCUUGUCUGAGCCUAGACUCCCUGUCACCACGGGGCUCCCCCAGAAGGACACUCAUGCCUCUUAGUGUUUAACCUGUCAUGGAUGGCCACAUUCUGUCCACCCCAGGCCUUGCUGUCUCUCUAGACUUUUUCCCAUGUCCCCUGGCUGGUUGGCCCCAUAACUGAUCUUCAUGGGAAACCGUUUUGUCUUUAGCUCUACCUCUUCACAUGUCUCUUCCCCCCCAAACUCACACACACAGACUCCCUGGCCACAUUGGUAAUAGCCAGUGAUGUUUGCCAUGGAGCACUUUAUGAGCAUGUUCUUGUAAGUCCCUCUUCACAUAUGAGCCAGUGUAGCUCCAAAGGUUUAAGUGGCUUAGCCAAGAUCACAUGGCUAAAGUAACAUACUCCUUUACCUCUGAUUCUAUUCAUUCCAUUCUAGAAAUUUCUUAGGGGAAGGAGAGAGACUGACCGAUUCUAUUCUAGCUCUUCUCUGCUGACUCUUCCUCAUGGUGGCUGGCUUUAGUAACUAGCAGAAACAGGUUUCAAACUUAUGUCUGUUUGAUGUCAACACUGAUAGAUUUAAUCACUCCCCGAAGACAGCCUUUGAUCAUUUCAUGGUCUCUACACUGUAGUUCCCUUUGAUAAGCCAGUGCCCUUCCCCGAUGCUCCGAUGCUCUGAUGCUCCGUGAUACUGCAGAUAAGACUCUGUCACCCAGUGGGGCUAGCUCUGGGACAGGAAGCGUGAAGAUGUGUCCAGCCUGCAAGACCCAAGUGCUCCCCAAGGGACAGCCCCCUCCUCACCAUGUUGAUCUUCCCUUGGGGGUGAGCCAAGGACGACACCGAGAUGGCUGUCACCGCGCUGACCGCAAGAGCAUAAGGCCUCCGGAAGCUCCAGGCCACCAUCAGCCCAAAAUAGGCUGCAAACACGUGGAUGUGCAUCAUGUUGACGUGGUUGUCCUUCUGCAACAAAGGCAGUGAAUGCCCACAGCCUCCGCCCAUGGGCCAAUCCCCGGGAGACAGUUCUGAGCUUCACCCUAAGGUGUGACUUGGGAGUCAUGAGACCAGCGUUUGGCGCUUAGCCAGCCCAGCAGCUCCCCUCUCAGAGGAGACCUGGGAGUAACCAUGUACUUAUUCCAGGGAAAUUGCUGGUUGGCCUUAUCAGUAGCUCUUACAUGCUUUUGGCUGGGAUCCACUUAGGUGAGGCAAAAAGCCACAUGGACAUGCGCCCCCACUGCUUCCUACUUUUGGCAGAAUUGAUGGAGAGGUGAGCAGUAUAAAUUUUGCAGCAUAAAGCAGCCAGACUUUAUAAUGCUGAACUAAAAGUCUUUAGUAAAUGCUAGACAUACGCUAAGUUUGCUUUAUGAACAUCAAAGUUAGUCAUCCUUAAUAACUCACUUAGUGGACCACUCGUAAGUCCUGUCAACUGUGCCUUCAAAGAAAUAUCCAGAACUGGCAGAGUUUUUACCACCAUGCCUCACUGGCCCCACCAUCACCGCUACCCCCAAUUAUUGCAAUAAUCACCGUCCCCCUACUGACUCCUCUCCACAUGGCAGCCAGAGCGACCCUGUGAACAUCUCAGUCAGCGCAUGGCCAUCUCUGUUCAGAAUCUUCCAAUGGUUCCUGUCUCGCUCAGUGUCCACGUCCACGUUCUUGCUCUGACCUAUAGAACCCUCUGUGACUUGCUCGCUCCCUAACCUCCCCGGCUUCACCUCCUGCUCCACUCCUGACACACUCUCACUCUUUCUCAAACCCACAGAUAUGCUCCCAGGUCAGUCCCACUUCACACUGGCUUUUCCAAUGCCUGGAAUGCCAGGUGAAAGGAGUGAGCCACCACGGGUGCAGGCAGGCAGGGGGUGCAUUGUCUGGAGAGAAUUUGAAACAAUAAUAAAAGCAAUUAAAAGCCUGUCUUUUUAUUAUCACCACGCGCCAACAAUUCUAAACAGCGUGGGCAAUAAAAUACUCCUGGAAGAGGCAGGCCACUCCCACCGCCCUGCCCUUGACCUGCCCUUAUACGCAGACACCCACGUGGCUUGUACACUUGCUGCCUUCAUGUCUCUACUCAAAUUUUUUUUUUUUUUUUUUUUUUUUUUUUACUCAGGGAAGCUUUCCCUGGCCACCUUGUUAACAUUUUAUCCCUCUUUCAACUCUUCGUAUCUCCUUUCCCAUUUUAUUUUUUCUCUGUAGUACUUAACACUCUCUAACACGCAAUACCGUUUGCCUAUAUGAUGGUUUAUUGGCAGCCUUUCCCUCUGGAAUGGAAGGUCCCCAACAGUUGCAUUGCCUAAAAGACGCCCGGUACAUAAUAGACAUGGAAUAGACAUGUGAAAUGAACGAGUGAACGGGAAGGAUACCUUCACACAUUUCACUUACACAUGAAAACGAAAGUCUGUGAUAGUCCCUUGCAAAAACUGUGUGAGGUCCCCCAGGAAUCCAGGAACCACAAGUGGGGAUUGUUGGCGUGGAAUACUGUACCCAUUUCUCGAGUUGCCUCCACUGAAACAGCUCUGGUUGCUGCCUCUGGUUUCCUCCUGAGUCUUUCCACUCAAGAACCCAGGCUGAACUGAAGUUCCGAGGUGAAGCGGCCACCUCUCAAAAUCAGUACUAAAUCCUCCUGUGCACCAUCUCACCUAGCGAUUCAAAGCCGCAGAGAAGAGAGGAGAGGAGAUGGCUUUGAAAAACUGCGGCCUUUUAAAACAAUCAUUACGAGGACCCUGGCAAAGCAGGCACAGGUUUACAAAGAACGGCACACAACGCGCGUUGCAGCUCUGGGAAUUUACCCCUUCUCUUGACUAGCCACGUGUUUACUCUGUGACCGCCUACGCUGGCUGCAGCUGAUUGGCCCAGAGUAGACAUGUGGCCGCGGGAGCCAAUCAGAUUCUAUCUUACUGGACCAUAGACCUGGGACUAGCUGAGAGCAAAGAGAGCUGUUUCCUGUAGGAUCCGGGCCUUAGAGGCGCAUGAAUAACAGCGGUAGGAGAGAUACGUGGUCUCCACCAAAGAGAAAGCUGAUGUGCACAGAAGUUGGAUGUACAGGGAGGAACAGAACCCAGAGAUGGAGAGCGUGACCUGCCUGGGGUCUUAAAGACUCCUCAGAUCCAGUUCCAGUCCUGAGACUGGCUGCCACCCCUUGCCCUUGGUGGUCCUUAUGUUAAAUUCCCUUCGUUUUGUGUAAAAAAGCUCCAGUGCAAUUUUCUUCCUUGAAAGUAAGGGGUGGGAAUUCAUCCUUGUAGUAAGCAGAGAGAAGCGGCAGAAAAUGGAAGUAUGCCUGGGUGAAUCCCUGAGCCCAUAGUGAUCUAAAUAAAUAAACAAACAAGCAAAUAAAAGCAUGAAUGGAGAAGAAGAGAAAGUUCUUUCUUACAGCAGAACGGUAACUAAUGAGUGUGGAAGGGAAGAUGGAAUCAGAAAAAACAAUAUGGGGGGGGGGGGCGGCGCCUGGCUGGUUCAGUUGGUAGAGUAUGUGAUUCUUGAUCUUGGGGUUAUAAGUAUGAGCCCCACCUUGGGGUUUAGAGAUUAGAGAUCUCUAAAUAGAGAUUAUUUAAUACAUAAUUUAAGUAAACAGAUUACUUAAAAAUAAAGUCUUAAAAAAAGGAAAAAAAAUACUGGCAAUCGUACUGUUUCAGGCAAAAGAAAAAAAUCAACAUGCUAAAAUCAGUGUGUGAAAAACAUGAUAAGAAACAGGGUAUUAUCUUCCCACAAGAUGUUUAUUAAUUAUAAAGGGGAAAACAGUAACUUUGCAGUGGAAGAGCCCAGCAGACAUCAUCUUAACAGGUGAUCAGAGUUAACAUCCUCAGUAAUGGGACAAAUUGACAGCAUGUGUCUCUUGAUUCUUCGCACUGAGUAGGACAUAACAUCGCUCCCGUGUAAUUUCUGCCAAAAAUGCAUAUUCUUCAACCAAUCGUGAGGAAACACUACACAAAGCCACAUUCGACAAAAUAACUGGCUUAGGUGCAGUAUUGGUGAGAUAGUGGUGAACAUAGCUGCCUUCCAAAAUAAAUGGCUUAUAAUCUCGAAAUACGUCCAGUUCAUGAGAGAUAAAGACUGAGAAGCUGUUCCAGAUCAAAGAAGUUUAAGGAGACAUGAGAAAUGAAUGGAAAGUGUGAUCGUGGACCCAAAAGAAAAAAAUACUUUAUUUAUAUAUUUUUAACUUUAUGUAUAUAAACUUUUCAAACUUUAUAUAUAAUAUUAUAUAUAUUUAUAUAUAUUUAUAUAUUUAUAUUUAUAUAAACUAAACUUUAUAUAUAUUUUAUAUAUAUUAAACUUUAUAUAUAUAAACUAUAUAUUUCUAUUUAUAUAAACUAA